GAUGAACGCUGGCGGCGUGCCUAAUACAUGCAAGUCGAGCGAACAGACGAGGAGCUUGCUCCUCUGACGUUAGCGGCGGACGGGUGAGUAACACGUGGAUAACCUACCUAUAAGACUGGGAUAACUUCGGGAAACCGGAGCUAAUACCGGAUAAUAUAUUGAACCGCAUGGUUCAAUAGUGAAAGACGGUUUUGCUGUCACUUAUAGAUGGAUCCGCGCCGCAUUAGCUAGUUGGUAAGGUAACGGCUUUCCAAGGCAACGAUGCGUAGCCGACCUGAGAGGGUGAUCGGCCACACUGGAACUGAGACACGGUCCAGACUCCUACGGGAGGCAGCAGUAGGGAAUCUUCCGCAAUGGGCGAAAGCCUGACGGAGCAACGCCGCGUGAGUGAUGAAGGUCUUCGGAUCGUAAAACUCUGUUAUUAGGGAAGAACAAAUGUGUAAGUAACUAUGCACGUCUUGACGGUACCUAAUCAGAAAGCCACGGCUAACUACGUG
rnacentral:rRNA from 1 species